AUCACUUCUCAGCCUUUUGCUAUGAUAAAGUACAGUAUCUAUUCUUAUCAGUUUAAUAUCUGAUAUGUCCUUUAUCUAAGGUCAAUAUAUUAAGUGGAAAUUUGGGAUUAGGAUACAGAAUAGGAGCAUGGUCUGUCCACUCCACACAUCAACCUGGUAUUGCAGUUUUUCAGGAAUGGUACACACACA